GAAAUGCGAUAAGUAAUGUGAAUUGCAGAAUUCAGUGAAUCAUCGAAUCUUUGAACGCACAUUGCGCCUGCUAGCAUUCUGGCAGGCAUGCUUGUUCGAGCGUCCUUAAUAACCCUCGGGCUCUGUAAACUUAGGUUUAUGGUACCCGGUGUUGGGAAGCCGCGGCAGCCGCGGCUCCCUAAAACCAGCGGCGGACCCGUCCGAGGCCUUGGCGUAGUAAUACUCUCGCCUUCGGCUCCUGGCUUGGCCCUGCCCCUAGAACCAUCUCAUUAAUUUGGACCUCGAAUCAAGUAGGAAUACCCGCUGAACUUAA
rnacentral:misc_RNA from 1 species